AGGAGAACAAAUUUGUGCAAAAACAAAAAGAGUCAUUGGAACAUAAAAUAGUGAGUGGCAAAAGGAACAGAGGUUUUCAUCAUCCUGAUCACCACCACAAUCUUCUAGGGCAUGCAUGGUUGCUGUGGAAUGAAGACAGGGCUUUGGAACUAAUGGAAGCAUGUUUGAAGGAUUCAUGUGUUGAAUCUCAAGUACAGAGAUGUGUUCAAGUGGGCCUAUUAUGUGUUCAGAAACUCCCACAAGAUAGGCCGGCAAUGUCAUCUGUAGCGUUCAUGUUGGGAAAUGAGGAAGCAAUAUUGCCUCAGCCUAAACAACCCGGUUUCUUCAUUGAAAGAAGUUCCAUUGAUGCAGAUACUGCAACAAGAAGUGAAAAUUUUUAUACGAAUGGUGAAGUAACCAUAACAAUAUUGGCUGCUAGAUAGAGUAUUCAUCGCAGUUGUUAAUAUGAUUUUAGAAAUAGAUGUUAUUUCAACUUCAGAAUUUUUGUAGACUUCAUUUUAUUUCUUAAAACCACCGAGCUCAAAAGUCUUAAAUUUUCUAUUUA